AUUCCAGCUCCAAUAGCGUAUAUUAAAGUUGCUGCAGUUAAAAAGCUCGUAGUUGGAUUUGUGGCGCGGCCGUCCGGCGGGGCUCCUUCAUUGGGGCCGUUUGUCUGGUUUUUCGGCCGCUCCAUUCUCGGGUAGUGUGUCGCUGGCAUUAGUUUGCUGGCGUCUUCACGCCCGUCGUUUACUGUGAAAAAAUUAGAGUGUUCAAAGCAGGCUUAGGCCAUUGGAUACAUUAGCAUGGAAUAAUGAGAUAGGGCCACGACGGUCUAUUUUGUUGGUUUGCACGUUGUGGUAAUGAUUAACAGGAACGGUUGGGGGUAUUCGUAUUCAAUUGUCAGAGGUGAAAUUCUUGGAUUUAUGGAAGACGAACUACUGCGAAAGCAUUUACCAAGGAUGUUUUCAUCA
rnacentral:rRNA from 1 species